CAUAAACCGCGAGGCGCACGCGGAGAAGUCCUUUCUGUUCAGUAAAAACUCGAGGAGAGUUCAUGUUGAGAGAAUUCAGAAGAAAAAUCUCUGGUGUUUCUCGAGUGCUUCACAAAUUAACGACGGAGAUCAACCGCAUUUACCUUGGACGUCCGAAGCUGCCUCUUCAGUGAACCACAGUUUUCAUAAGACUUAUGCUGUGUAAACUUAUUGAACCCAAUAAAACUUGAUUAAAACCAA